GAUGAACGCUGGCGGCGUGCCUAAUACAUGCAAGUCGAGCGAACGGACGAGAAGCUUGCUUCUCUGAUGUUAGCGGCGGACGGGUGAGUAACACGUGGAUAACCUACCUAUAAGACUGGGAUAACUUCGGGAAACCGGAGCUAAUACCGGAUAAUAUUUUGAAACGCAUGGUUGAAAAGUGAAAGACGGUCUUGCUGUCACUUAUAGAUGGAUCCGCGCUGCAUUAGCUAGUUGGUAAGGUAACGGCUUACCAAGGCAACGAUGCAUAGCCGACCUGAGAGGGUGAUCGGCCACACUGGAACUGAGACACGGUCCAGACUCCUACGGGAGGCAGCAGUAGGGAAUCUUCCGCAAUGGGCGAAAGCCUGACGGAGCAACGCCGCGUGAGUGAUGAAGGUCUUCGGAUCGUAAAACUCUGUUAUUAGGGAAGAACAUAUGUGUAAGUAACUGUGCACAUCUUGACGGUACCUAAUCAGAAAGCCACGGCUAACUACGUG
rnacentral:rRNA from 1 species